GAGCGGAUGACGGGAGCUUGCUCCUUGAUUCAGCGGCGGACGGGUGAGUAAUGCCUAGGAAUCUGCCUGGUAGUGGGGGACAACGUUUCGAAAGGAACGCUGAUACCGCAUACGUCCUAGGGGAGAAAGCAGGGGACCUUCGGGCCUUGCGCUAUCAGAUGAGCCUAGGUCGGAUUAGCUAGUUGGUGGGGUAAUGGCUCACCAAGGCGACGAUCCGUAACUGGUCUGAGAGGAUGAUCAGUCACACUGGAACUGAGACACGGUCCAGACUCCUACGGGAGGCAGCAGUGGGGAAUAUUGGACAAUGGGCGAAAGCCUGAUCCAGCCAUGCCGCGUGUGUGAAGAAGGUCUUCGGAUUGUAAAGCACUUUAAGUUGGGAGGAAGGGCAGUAAGUUAAUACCUUGCUGUUUUGACGUUACCGACAGAAUAAGCACCGGCUAACUCUGUGCCAGCAGCCGCGGUAAUACAGAGGGUGCAAGCGUUAAUCGGAAUUACUGGGCGUAAAGCGCGCGUACGUGGUUUGUUAAGUUGGAUGUGAAAGCCCCGGGCUCAACCUGGUGACUGCAUCCAAAACUGGCAAGCUAGAGUACUGUAGAGGGUGGUGGAAUUUCCUGUGUAGCAGU
rnacentral:rRNA from 1 species